rnacentral:rRNA from 1 species
GACGAACGCUGGCGGCGUGCUUAACACAUGCAAGUCGAACGGAAAGGCCCUGAGUUUGUGGGGUGCUCGAGUGGCGAACGGGGGAGUAACACGUGAGUAACCUGCCCUUGACUUUGGGAGAACUUCAGGAAACUGGGGCUAAUACCGGGGAGGAGCUCCUGCUGCAUGGGGGGGGAUGGAAAGAUUCGGCGGUUGGGGGAGGAUUGGCUGGUUAUCAGCUUGUUGGUGGGGUAGUGGCUUACCAAGGCUUUGACGGGUAGCCGGCCUGAGAGGGUGACCGGCCACAUUGGGACUGAGGGACGGCCCAGACUGCUACGGGAGGGAGCAGUGGGGAAUAUUGCACAAUGGGCGGAAGCCUGAUGCAGCAACGCCGCGUGCGGUAUGACGGCCUUCGGGUUGUAAACCGCUUUCGCCUGUGACGAAGCGUGAGUGACGGUAAUGGGUAAAGAAGCACCGGCUAACUACGUG